rnacentral:siRNA from 1 species
GGUGCUCCAAGGAUGGGAGGAAU